rnacentral:lncRNA from 1 species
GGAACUCCUUUCAGAGCAGGCCUGUUUUUAGCCUUCUAGGAUAUUUAGCCUCUUGUUGAUGGGAGAUUUGUUCCUAUCAUUUGCAUAUACUGCUCCAUCUCUGAGCUUUGCUUAGAGAGGAGAAUUUGGACAUUCAUUUGGGUAUUCUAAGAAAGGGAAAGGGAACAAGCUGUGAAGCUAAGGUAUAGGACUCAGCUUGUAGAUUCUCCUAGAGGAAACUUUUUUUUUUUUUUUUUUGAGAACAGAUUAUCCAGUAAGCAGGAGGUAGAGGGGAAGAGAUUGAACUUUGCUGACCUUUGAUGUGAGGCGCUCAGCCAGGGCCAAGGGGAGAGCCUGGCAAGAUUUGCAGCCUGAAGCCAUGGGCCAGGGGGCCAUGGUGACCUGAGACAAGUGGACUCUGUAUAGUUGCCCCCUGCUUCCCCUUCUACCUCCCCUACCCUAUGCUAAGGGGACUCGUCUCCACCUCGUAAAGGAAACUCCCCAAGGGAAUCCCUGUCCCCUAUUUUCCUAUCCUUCUACCCUUCCAA